ensembl:snRNA U7 U7 small nuclear RNA
AAGAUUUGCUCUUUUAGUAUUUCUCCAGAUGGUUUCCUGAAGGAGAAAGCCUCC